rnacentral:misc_RNA from 1 species
GUGAAUCAUCGAAUUUUUGAACGCAAAUUGCGCCUUUUUCGGAAGCCAUGUGUGUGUGAGGUCACCAUUUAACAAAUAAUGUGAAGCGCUUUUUGUUGCACACGUUGAUGAGCUUUCCAAGAAUCUUAAAUUCUUGGUGGCGCAUAAUGAACAGCGUGAAAGUUUUUUUCAGUUCGAGUGUAGUAAAAUCUUUGCUUGGGUUGUGAAAAAACAUAAUCGCGCAACGGGUGUGGCAAUUUCUUUUUAUCCCUGCCCCAAUGCUACUCUGUCACUAGAAAGAAUCUCUAAUCUUCA